AGUUCUUCUGUGACUUCACGAUGUUCCAGAUGAAGUACGUCUUCUUCCCUUUUGGAAUCAAAUGCCCCUCUAGGAUUGAGUCUCUUUUACCCAAACCACUUUUGAAUCUUGUCAACUUUGUCUAAAAGAAAUCCUAAAAACAAAUGAACAAAUGGACUCGGUCCACGGACACCUAGCCAAGACUGUCUCUGAGAAGAAUGACAUGCCUUCAGCAUGAAGUAGCUACAAGAAAAGGACAUGUAAUUAAGGAGGAAAAAAAAAAUCAGAAACUGGAGCCAUUAAAGAGACUGUGAUAUGAGGAAAACAUUGUACAGGAGAUGUGACCGAAGAUCUCAGAUCUGAGAACUGAAAGGGAAUGAAACUAGUUAAAAUUCCACUGCUCAUUCGCUCCACGGGAGAAAUAACAUUCCUGUGCGAUGCCACUUGCCACUUCAUUUUUAGAAACAAUUAAAAGAUGCAAAUAUUUAUGAAUCACUGUGUAUGUUGUAAUCCUAUUUUGAAAACAAACAUUGCCUUGUACUUUAGGUUCUCAAUGCUGGUUGCUGUUGGGAUUCAGGGGUUAAAGCAAGCACUUCAAAAUGAGCUCACUACUGCUACCCAGACAAAGGGAUGCAACUCUGAGAGUGUGUUCUGUUUGCCUGCAAGCUGUUGCCUAUGCCAAAUGAGCAUUUUAAAAACCAUUCAAAUUAAGUUGAAAAUUUGUAAUUAUAUUUUCCCUUUUAAUUGUAACUUAUGCAAAUGUUAUAUUCCAG
rnacentral:lncRNA from 1 species